CAACAGUUAAAUCACCUGCUAAGGUAUUAAACUGCGAUGAACCGAUGCAGACUGUUGGCUACCCCUGGUCUUUGGUAAAAGUCUUCUCCGCCUCCUUCAGAUGGAGACCCCUUGGCUUAGCAAGUUAGCAGUAGCACAAAAAUGGCAGCAGAGGAGUGGAUGCGUGAUGAGCAGCACCCUCCUUCUCCGUCACUGUUUCAGCACCGCGGACAGCAUGACGUCUGCCAAGGUGGCUGGCCACUGUGGCUGACGGGGCCGAGUCCUUGAGGAGAUCAUGUGUCUGUGGAAAGUACAGGACAAGCACUGAUGUUUGAGCUUUCAAACCAGUGUCCCUAGUUGUCACCUCCUUUUCCCAUCUGCCUCUGUUGUGCGCGUUUCAUUUACAACGUCUCUAUGACGGAGGUCCAUCGCUUGCCACGCACAGCACAUUUUACAUUGUUGGAGUGCUUUGAAGUAUCAUGUACAGUGUAGGGGAUGAUAUACUGUUACUAACACGUUGAGAGUGUGGUUCUUCCUUCCCUUUCUGAUCACCAGUCUUUAUAUUUUCCACCUUUAUGUUUUGCUUCACCCAGUACUGCACAUCAUUUGUAAUACAAAGCAGGGAUGGAGAAUAUUAUAGAUAAAAUCCUCCCAAAUAUUCUACAGUGGUGAAAACUUACAGAAAUAUGCCUCCCAUUUUGGCAGACAUGGCUUACUCUUUCUGUCUUUUUCAUGCCCAUUUUGGAUGUCGUCCAGAUGAAUCAUACUAACGACCUGGGCUCCGUGCUGCAGCACUGCUCUGAAAUUAAUAUCUAAGGAAUGGAGAUAUAGGGCAAAUAGAUGAGAAUAGGAACCCGAUAUUCACUCUUGGGUACUACGUGCUCUGGCAUAGACACACUCACACACACACACACAUGCACUCACAUAUACUGCACACAGAGCCUGACAGGCAGGCUAUUAUCCCCCAGCCAGGGCUGCCGUAAUUGGCUAUCGCUUUUUACAAAUGUGGCUCAGUCUGACUCGCAUAUCAGCUCCCGUCUCAUCAACCGUGUAGGGGUCACCAUGUCCGUGCUUGUAUGCGUGUGGUUGUGUAUGUGUCUGUAUAUGUAUAUAUGUAGGGGUCACUGGUGUGCCCAUCCCUCUCAUGUCUCCAUUUCACAUGCUCAUUUAUGUCUGUGCUAAACGAGCCAAUGGAUGCUAAGUGUGUCAGUGGCAAAGUCCUCUUUAGCAGUGCCGGAGUAUUUAGCCAUUAGUCUGCUAAUAGCAUCAAGAUCAUUCCAACACUGGCUAGCUGAUGAUGAAAUAUUAGCUUAGUUCAGGCUGUCAUUAGUUAGUCUGGGCUUGCCUUAGAGGUCAGGUCCAUCUUAUUUCUCACAUCAAACUCAGUUAUUAACUGAGUGUGCAGAUUAAUUUCUUAUUUUUGUCAGUUUGUAAAAAAAAAUAAAAAAAAAAUUUGCUGGUUUUAAUACAAUUUUAAAAUAAUAUUUUUUCCAUCUUAUUUUAUGCAGGUGUGCUUAUCAUUACCAGAUUGUUUUUAGACUUGCAAACAUGGAAUGCACCAUAGAAUAUGUAUCCUAAAUUACACUUCUCUUUAAUUACCAAAUAUAUGACAUGUCAGACACUGAUAAUUACAUGUAACUGUAAAGAAUGUAAAGAAAAACACAAGAAGAAAAACCCUGCAUUCUCUGUGGUGUGAGAAUUUACUUUGUUUUUACACACCAGAUGAUUUCAAAUGUUUUGUAAACUUAAUGUAUUUUUAAAUUACUUUUCUAUUCUGAAUCCUACUGUAAAAGUAUGGCUUCUAAAUUCUAUCUUGAUUCAAGAUAUUUGCAUAUUUUGUGUAAAUGUGUAAAAUUUUGCCUCAUUUAAAACAUCACUUAGACAUUUAAGCUGUCAGAAUACAGUUAAAUGGUGUGCAGUCAAUGGUAUAAUGAAGGCAAAUGUGUAAAAAAUAUAAAUGCUAAUCAUUUGUAUGGAUUACAUUUCCUUAAUUAACCGACUUCAACAUUUAAAAAACCCAUUGUUUAAUUCUCUUAUAAUAUUAGAAAACCAAAAGCUGAGGGGAAUAAAAGCACUCCAAUGUUCACUGCA